rnacentral:rRNA from 1 species
UACGAAGGGGGCUAGCGUUGCUCGGAUUGACUGGGCGUAAAGGGCGCGUAGGCGGUUCGUACAGUCAGACGUGAAAUCCUGGGCUCAACCUGGGGGCUGCGUUUGAUACGUGCGGACUUGAGUGCGGAAGAGGGUCGUGGAAUUCCCAGUGUAGAGGUGAAAUUCGUAGAUAUUGGGAAGAACACCGGUGGCGAAGGCGGCGACCUGGUCCGAUACUGACGCUGAGGCGCGAAAGCGUGGGGAGCAAACGGG